rnacentral:lncRNA from 1 species
CCUGAUCUCCAUCAGGAAUGCCUGUGGCCCUGGUCACUGCCUGAGAUGUUGGUGAUGGUUCUGAUGGAAGAAAAACAAAGGCAAGGCAAAUGAUAAGGUUUUCAUACAGAAAUACAGAGCUCUUGUAGAAACUGAUUCUGUUUCUGGUUCUAUCACAAUUUGCUAUGAUGGCCUCCCCAGAGAGGAUAAAGCUUAUAGACUGCAAACUGGAAGAGCUUGUAGAUGACCUCUGUCACAACUGUAAUUUGAUCUCAAGGUCACAUGGACAAGACUGGGAAGUAUGUGUCACACAUCAUCC